rnacentral:tRNA from 1 species
CAAGAUAUAGCUUAAACAAAGCAUUUAGUUUACACCUAGAAGAUUCCACAGUCCGUGUAUAUCUUGA